rnacentral:rRNA from 1 species
CCUACGGGUGGCUGCAGUAAGGAAUAUUGGUCAAUGGACGCAAGUCUGAACCAGCCAUGCCGCGUGCAGGAUGACGGCCCUAUGGGUUGUAAACUGCUUUUGUACGGGAAAAAACCCUCGCUCGUGAGCGGGGCUGAUGGUACCGUAAGAAUAAGGAUCGGCUAACUCCGUGCCAGCAGCCGCGGUAAUACGGAGGAUCCAAGCGUUAUCCGGAUUUAUUGGGUUGAAAGGGUGAGCAGGCGGAAAUGGUGAAAUCCUGCAGCUUAACUGCAGAACUGCCAUUGAUACUGUUUUUCUUGAGUAUAGUUGAAGUGGGCGGAAUGUGUCAUGUAGCGGUGAAAUGCUUAGAUAUGACACAGAACACCAAUUGCGAAGGCAGCUCGCUAAGCUAUAACUGACGCUCAUGCACGAAAGCGUGGGGAUCAAACAGGAUUAGAUACCCCUGUAGUC